rnacentral:tRNA from 1 species
GCGGGCGUGCUGAAACUGGUAGACAGGCCGGGUUUAGGUCCCGGUGCUCGCAAGAGCGUGGGGGUUCGACUCCCUCCGCCCGCA